AGAAGGGCUGGCUUUGUGGCAGA
rnacentral:piRNA from 1 species